AUUUUUAUAUUUGGAAAUACCCUAACACUUGGCUUUUAUUUAUGUACCUCCUAGUUUCUAAAUUAAUUCAUCAAAUUUAUUUUUAGCCUAAUUGAAUAUUUAUUAGUUCUUUGAAUUUUUAUUAUUUUCUUUGAACCUUUAUUAUUUAAUUGAGCAAAUAAAUAUCUUUAAAUAAAUAUCUACACAUAUCUUUAAAUAAAUAGUUUUAUUAUUUAUUUUAAUACUUAUUUGAGCAAUGGAAAAAUAUCUAGAUUUUUAUGCUUUUUCUUAGUCAUUAAGCUAGCCCUAUUUCAUGGCUUAUAAAUUGAGAACUUUGUCUCAAUUUUCACCCCACAUUUUCAACAGCCUAGGGAGAGGGUGAGAGGGUGAAAGUGUGAUCAAAGGAAGUAGAGAAGAAGAAGAAGAAAAAAAAUAAUAAUAAGGGUGACUCUCAAAAAGCUUGCUUGGCAAAAGAUCUAAUAAAUGGGAAAUGGAAAGGGGUUGGUAGUGGGUGACGUUCACCCUUGUGCUUCAGAAUGAUUUAUGUAUUGAACAUGUGAAUGGAAUUAAAACCAAAUGAGUUAAGUCUUGCGCAAGCGGUCUAAACGAGCCCCCAGGUUGACACGGAUGUAUUCAGACUCUAUGCGGUGGUUUCAGGGUGUAAGCGAGCCCUUUGGUAUGAUAUGUGCAGGGUGUAAGCGAGCCCUAGGCACGAUUUGGUAUGGUAUGUGCAGGGUGUAAGCGAGCCCUAGGCACGAUUUGGGUGUAAGCGAGCCCACUUGUUUGGCCGUCCCUUUUGAGGUCCAUCAAUGUCACUAACCGGUAAAUAACCAGGAGAUGGGCAUAGGUGGUAAGGUCUGCAAAGCAGCAAAAGGGGGAGUCUGAGUAAUCCGGUGUUCAGCCUUGUGGUUGGGUAGAAGGAUCUCUUUGGGGGAUCCUAGAUGUCUAGGCAAACUCCUAAUUCAUAGAACCUUGUUGUAAUUUUGCAUGUUAUGUUACCCAAUUUGUCCUAUGUAUGGUUGAUUGGUUGAUAGAAGACAUGGGGAUGUGUGUGUUUUUACUGGGCAUUCCAAGCUCACGGUGUGUCAUGCCAGGUGGUGAAGCAGUUAUAAUGGUGAAAGUUAUUGCGAAGGCAAAUACGAUGAAGUGUUGGAGCGGUGGUUCAUCUGAAGACUUAGACUAGUUGUUUUGUUUUCAAUGUUUUGUAAUCCUGCAAUGGAAAAUAAACGAAUGAUCCGUGAUACUAACUCUGGUUAUAUAUGUAUGUUAAGAUGUUUUGGU